AUACUGUAUCUUCUUAGAAAAUUAACACUAUUGAGAGAUUUGGCUUUGUUUGAAGAACUUCAGUCAUUGGCCAGAAUGCAAAUGCUCCCAUUUAAUAGUUGAAAAGCACAAAGACUUAGAAGAUUGAGUUAGACUAUUUUAUACAAAACUUCUCACAGGUAAUGCUGUGGUUCACACCUGAAGAAUUCAAAUGCAAAAUUAGAAUGAUCUCAGUCCAUCUAAUAUGAUUCUGCAGAACCAGUACCACAGAGCUCACUAGAGUUGCUGCUGUUUUCCAUAUAUUUCAAUACGUAGCUUAUGCUUAAGGAGUAAUAACCUACUGUCCUCUUGACUUUUAUCAGGAGAAUUUUACUAAUGCCUAUGCUAUGAAAGAAAGCUAGUUAGACCUCUCAUUAUUUGACACAUAUCAGUAUAUAUCUAGAAUGAUAUAACCUUUGUCUUUUUACACAUACCCCAAAACGAUACCUAGUUAUCCAGUAUCAUACUAGUUGUUGUCUACUGCGAGUCAAAGCAAUGAUGUCACAAGGAAGAGGCAAAUAUCAUCACUGACUUUCAUUAACUCAGUCAAACAUUCAUUAUUUUUUAUUUAUUUAUUUAUAUUUAUAUUUAGUUUAGUUUAGUUUAGUUUAGUUUAGUUUAGUUUUUUGAGAUGGAGUUUCUCUGUGCAGUUCUGGCUAUCCUGGAACUCACUCUGUAGACCAGGUUGGCCUCGAACUCCAAAAUCCACCUGCCUCUGCUUCACAAGUGCUGGGAUUAAAGGCAUGCGCCACCACUUCCCAGCCUUAUUUUUUAUUCUUAUGUAUACAAUCUUGGCAAGUACUAGUGAUUUUUGUUUAUAUAUUCUUAACUCUUCUGUGAGAUGUUUUAAUGAAUUACUAUUUUAAAUAUAAGGAGCAGUCAUUGGAGUGGCUUGAUCAAAUCUUUACCAAUUACACUUAGAAGAUUCUUUAAUGUUUUAGCAUUUGAGAUAAGUACUGGAAAAAUAAAGACAAUUUAUUUAGGAAAAAGAAGCUCCUUAUUUUAUAAAUAGAUUGUUUUCAGAUAUUUAUUACUAAGAGAUGGUAACAUUUCCCAGCUCUAUUUACUCACAGCCUUUCUUGAGCAAAUGAUUUAAUCACACUGUGCUUCACCACUGAGAUUAGCAGAAUAAAUAUUACAUUGUGGCAAGAAUAUGGAAUAGUGAUUAUAGCAGUAUAACAACUAAAUUCCAUCUGGCAAGCAUAGCUAUUAUUAGGAUGUCGAAUCUGCAUAAACUCAAGUGGAAACAGAACUGUUCCGUUAGAGUAUACAGAAAAUCAUACAGCAAGUUAGAAGAACAUAAUGAACACUCAAAACAUUCUCUUUACUCCGCUUCAAGAUGCCAUGUGACUAUGUCAUGAUGUUUUUUUAAAUCUCAUUUUGUUAUUUGUAAUCUGGUUACUUCAUUUACUGUCACCCUUGAACUGCUUAGGGAAAAAGCUGAUUAGUAACACACAGAGAAGCAAACUUGUAGAAAAAAAUUUUUGUUUAUCUUAAAAAAAUCUUUACUAUAUGGGGGCUAGAUAAAUGUCUUGGUGGUUAAGAGUACUUAAUGCUCUUGAAAAGGAUUGAAGUUUUAUCCCCAGCAUCCAUGUUGGGUGGCUUACAUUGUUCAUAACUUUAGUUUAAGAGAAUCUGGUACCCACUUCCAGCCUCAGUGAGGACUUGUACACAUAUGCACAUACUUCUUCCACACAGACAUAUACCCAGGAAUAAAAAUUACAGUAAGUGUUUUUAUAAUUAAUUACUUUAUAUUGAAUUAUUUGUUAAUGCUAUUUUGGAUUCCCAUGGCUCAAAGAAAAAUUUUUUAAAUUUAAAAAUAUUCAAAAAUUAAGCAAAACUCUUCCAAAUAAGUAACAAUUUG
rnacentral:lncRNA from 1 species